rnacentral:rRNA from 1 species
GUAGGUGGCAAGCGUUGUCCGGAAUUAUUGGGCGUAAAGCGCGCGCAGGCGGUUCUUUAAGUCUGAUGUGAAAGCCCACGGCUCAACCGUGGAGGGUCAUUGGGAACUGGAGAACUUGAGUACAGAAGAGGAAAGCGGAAUUCCACGUGUAGCGGUGAAAUGCGUAGAGAUGUGGAGGAACACCAGUGGCGAAGGCGGCUUUCUGGUCUGUAACUGACGCUGAGGCGCGAAAGCGUGGGGAGCAAACAGGAUUAGAUACCCUGGUAGUCCACGCCGUAAACGAUGAGUGCUAAGUGUUAGGGGGGUUUCCGCCCCCCUUAGUGCUGCAGCUAACGCAUUAAGCACUCCGCCUGGGAGUACGGCCGCAAGGCUG